AUUGAACGCUGGCGGCAGGCCUAACACAUGCAAGUCGAGCGAGCGGCGGACGGGUGAGUAAUGUAUGGGGACUGCCCGAUAGAGGGGGAUAACUCCUGGAAACGGUGGCUAAUACCGCCUACUCUCGGAUACCCCAUAUGGGAUUAGCUAGUAGGUAAGGUAAUGGCUUACCUAGGCGACGAUCCCUAGCUGGUCUGAGAGGAUGAUCAGCCACACUGGGACUGAGACACGGCCCAGACUCCUACGGAGGCAGCAGUGGGGAAUAUUGCACAAUGGGCGCAAGCCUGAUGCAGCCAUGCCGCGUGUAUGAAGAAGGCCCUAGGGUUGUAAAGUACUUUCAGUCGGGAGGCGUUACCGACAGAAGAAGCACCGGCUAACUCCGUGCCAGCAGCCGCGGUAAUAC
rnacentral:rRNA from 1 species